rnacentral:rRNA from 1 species
CCUACGGGGGGCUGCAGUGAGGAAUAUUGGUCAAUGGGCGAGAGUCUGAACCAGCCAAGUAGCGUGAAGGAUGACUGCCCUAUGGGUUGUAAACUUCUUUUAUAUGGGAAUAAAAUGUUCCACGUGUGGGCUUUUGUAUGUACCAUAUGAAUAAGGAUCGGCUAACUCCGUGCCAGCAGCCGCGGUAAUACGGCGGAUCCGAGCGUUAUCCGGAUUUAUUGGGUUUAAAGGGAGCGUAGGUGGAUUGUUAAGUCAGUGGUGAAAGUUUGCGGCUCAAACGUAAGAUUGCAGUUGAAACUGGGAGUCUUGAGUACAGGAGAGGUAGGCGGAAUUCGUGGUGUAGCGGUGAAAUGCGUAGAUAUCACGAAGAACUCCGAGUGCGAAGGCAGUGCACUGGACUGCAACUGACGCUGAGGCUCGAAAGUGUGGGUAUCAAACAGGAUUAGAUACCCCAGUAGUC